GCGGUGGGCCCACUCGCUUGCGCCCAUCUGACGCCUCCACCGGCUCCAACGCUCGGUCUUUCUAUUCGGGGUGUAGCUUCAAAGGUAGAGAAGUUUAUUUUCAACGUCUCACGAAAAGAAAAAGGCGCACUAUUUUACAGGACGCCUACGAAGAAAGAAUCACGUUCACACUGUUCCGCCGCAAAGCGCGGAGGGAUCUGUGAGACACGCCUUGGUUCCGGUGUUAGUUCCGUGCGCGGGGAGAGAAAGUCUUUCAUCUCAAGCGUAUUGGGAAGGCCAAGGCCGCAUGGUUACCGCGCGACGGGCUGGAGGGGAAGGCGCGUCGAGCUGAUUGGCUCAAGCAUGCAAGUCAUCCUAAUAGCCCUAUGAGAAAUUUGAGAACCGUCUCCCAUUUGCUGGAUGUGGCAUCUGUGGUAAUAGCACCCCACAAUGGAGCCGCUAUAGAAGUCCUGAGAAUCCUCCUUCGCGCUCAGACUCGCCAGUUGGCCCUCUAAAGGGAGACUCAUGAAUGUUGAGAUACUCCUGAGCUGGACAUGAUGGCGCACACCUGUAAUCCCAGGACUGGGAAGGCUAAGGCCGAAGGAUCCUGAGUUUGAGCCUGGACUACA